GUUUGCUAAGUGCACCUUCCGGUACACUUACCUUGUUACGACUUACCUCAUCUUAAGCGGUUGGUUUUAUUAGUUAGUGUAUUUGUGGGCCUUGUGAGGAGGGUGACGGGCGGUGUGUACGUGCUCUAGGACCGGUUUAAAGGAGGCUUGGUUAUCCUGCUUUACUGCUAAAUCCACCUUCUGGGGGCGGGUUUCAGGCCCCCUUCCGUUGGGCUGUUCUAUUUUAGAAAAUGUAGCCCAUUUCUUCCACUUCAUAGGCUAUACCUUGACCUGUCUUAUUAGCGAGUUGUGGGCUGUUGGGCUCACUGUUGCGCUCUCAUGAGGUGGGCUGGCGACGGCGGUAUGUAGGCUGUAUUGGCGAGAAGUGGUCGGGUGAAUCGUGGGUUAUCGAUUAUAGAACAGGCUCCUCUAGGUGGGUUUAGAGCACCGCCAAGUCCUUAGAGUUUUAAGCGUUUGUGCUCGUAGUUCUCGGGCGGAUGUUCGUGGUUGGGGGGCAUCAAGAUUUAGGGCCAGGCAUAGUGGGGUAUCUAAUCCCAGUUUGUGUCCUGGCUUUAGUGGGGUGGAAUGGGUCGCGGAUGUUAAGAUCAUCUUCAGGUUGGGCUUAGGGGUGCCUUAAGCUUAUGACAGCUUGGGCAUGGUUUGAUCUUAGUUCGGUGCGAUAGUUUGAACCCACUCUUUACGCCGUGUAUGGUUAACUUGGGUUUCUUGUAUGACCGCGGUGGCUGGCACAAGAUUUACCAACCCUGGUUGCUCUAACUAAGUCAGGCUUUCGCCUAUUGCUUAAUGUUAAUUACUGCUGAGUACCCGUGGGGGUGUGGCAUGGCGUGGCGUUUUAGGCUACGGCGGGUGGGCGUGCCUGAUGCCUGCUCCUCGUGUCUUAGUAAGGGGUUUGGGGCAUUUACACUGGGGUGCGGAUGCUUGCAUGUAUAUGUUGAGCAAAAGUUAACGAUAAGGUUAGGACUAAGUCUUU
rnacentral:rRNA from 1 species